rnacentral:misc_RNA from 1 species
GUAGGUGAACCUGCGGAAGGAUCAUUAUCGAAAUAAAUCUGAUGGGUUGUUGCUGGUUCUCUAGGGAGCAUGUGCACGCCUUGUCAUCUUUAUAUCUCCACCUGUGCACUUUUUGUAGACCCUUCAAGGUCUAUGUCGCUUCAUUAACCCCAAACAAAUAAUAGAAUGUUGUGCCUUUGAAAAAUCUAUACAACUUUCAGCAACGGAUCUCUUGGCUCUC